rnacentral:rRNA from 1 species
CCUACGGGAGGCAGCAGUGGGGAAUAUUGGACAAUGGGGGGAACCCUGAUCCAGCCAUGCCGCGUGUGUGAAGAAGGCCCUCGGGUUGUAAAGCACUUUCAGUGAGGAAGAACGCCUGGUGGUUAAUACCCAUCAGGAAAGACAUCACUCACAGAAGAAGCACCGGCUAACUCCGUGCCAGCAGCCGCGGUAAUACGGAGGGUGCGAGCGUUAAUCGGAAUUACUGGGCGUAAAGCGCGCGUAGGUGGCUUGAUAAGCCGGUUGUGAAAGCCCCGGGCUCAACCUGGGAACGGCAUCCGGAACUGUCAAGCUAGAGUGCAGGAGAGGAAGGUAGAAUUCCCGGUGUAGCGGUGAAAUGCGUAGAGAUCGGGAGGAAUACCAGUGGCGAAGGCGGCCUUCUGGACUGACACUGACACUGAGGUGCGAAAGUGUGGGUAGCAAACAGGAUUAGAUACCCCAGUAGUC